UUGAGCUAUGAAUACCGGAAGAAGCAUGCCCCAUGAAAAUGCUUCAGCCACAGAACAUGUUCAGAGCCCAGCAGUCCCAACCAUACAGCACAAGAGUGAACUGGUCCCAACCACUUGGCAGUCCAUUCCGAAAUGAGGUUACCUUCCAUGCAAUGAAAGGACUGCUGCUGUCAUCGUUUCUUCCAAGGCGUCAGAGAGCCGAGUCACAGUCAAAGUGGGGAAAUGGAUUUCUCCAGCACGUGGCCACUGUCCGAAAUAACCCCGCUCUGCGCGGGCGUCCCCGGCAACCCCGGCGUGUUCCAGAACACACGCUGAAACCGAAGCCGCUGCUGUUCGGCCCCAGCAAGAGAAUAUGAGAAGAAAAAAAGAACUCUGGAAGCGAGAUUCCCCCCCCCUUUUGCCUAAUAUUUGAGAUUACCUCAAAAAGAAAAAAGAAUGCAGCUAAGUUCCGUGAGUUCUUCAAUCGGUAAAGAAAAAAAUGAAUGGGUGAUAAUGCCUGGCAGUGAUUCUGUGAAAUGUGUGGGAACAAGGGGCCCAGCUGGGGGGCGGGUGGGCGGCGGUUUUUUUGGGGUUUUUUUUGGCUUUGCCACUUCGGGCAGGACGCAGGAGUCACAGACGCCCCUCCGGACUUCACAGACAGAGAUGAAAGCGCUCCGGACGCGCGGUACCGGCGCAGACCCGCCGCCGGCGGCCAGGCCGAGUCACGGCGGGCCUUUGGAUCGUCCGUCUUCAAAGCCCCGGCUUCGCUCGCCCCGGGGGCCGCGGCGGUGGCGCCCGCGGGCCUUCUGAUAGCUCUCAACAGUUCAAAGGAACCGCGGUUGUGCACGCUAACGGCUAACGCGCCGUCUGACCUGAUGAGUCUCCCAGCACAGCGCAGUCUCUGUCACAUGAACCACCAUGUUUGUUUUCCAGCCAAAGGAAUACCUUUAUUAAGUGUUUUUUUUUUUUGCCAUGUGGACAAAACAUAAUCUCGUUUUUCAGGCAAAUAUCCUCCUGUCUACAUUUAUUUAUUUUUUAUUAAUAUUUUUUUUAAAUCUCAUUUCUCUCUGGCCGCAGUGAGAAAUCAAAUCUCAUGACGCAGAGCAUCAGUCAUUCAUAAGGAAGACCAACACAAACUGAGUCACAUUUACAUCCAGAGGCGUUGGGGGGGGGGGUUUAAAUGGGUUUUCUGCUGGUUAUUUGUGCGCUGAAAUUACCGGAAAAAUGCAGUGAAUGAAGUAUCGUGUGCUGCUGGACGGAAUGUUCCACAUAUUUUAUUGUUGUAACCAGCCAUAGAUUAGAUGAUAAAACCAUAACAUCCAUUCAUCGAUACUCUGAUAAGCCGAGGAAAUGUUCCUUUCGCCUGCAAAAGGAGGUUUCGCUACGUGGCUGUCACCUGUUAACUGAGGCAUGCGCGUGUCCACACAUCAGAAGUAUAGCCCAAAGCGCUACGCAGAAAAGCAAUUAAAAUGGAGACACGAAACAAGGCAGCACGUUUCAUAACAUAGGGUAAGAAUGGAUUUGAUCAAAUCAGUUUAGCGAGUCGGUGGAGUGAAUUAGCUGAAUUGCAGAACGAAACGUCCCCGGCUCUUGUAUCGGCGAGGGAGAGGAGGGCCUGUUCCGCUCACAGAUGAAGAGGAUCUCAUUACUGAGAGGAAAGGGCUCCUCUGGGCCAGGGUCUGAUAUCUCUGCUUAUUUCAUCAUAUAUUCCUCUGGAGAGAAAAUAAGGG